UACGUAGGGUGCAAGCGUUAAUCGGAAUUACUGGGCGUAAAGCGUGCGCAGGCGGCUUUGCAAGACAGAUGUGAAAUCCCCGGGCUUAACCUGGGAACUGCAUUUGUGACUGCAAGGCUGGAGUGCGGCAGAGGGGGAUGGAAUUCCGCGUGUAGCAGUGAAAUGCGUAGAUAUGCGGAGGAACACCGAUGGCGAAGGCAAUCCCCUGAGCCUGCACUGACGCUCAUGCACGAAAGCGUGGGGAGCAAACAGG
rnacentral:rRNA from 1 species